rnacentral:misc_RNA from 1 species
AAGCCCAGGCUUGGUGUUGGACUCUAGGUGGUCGUAAUCGGCCACCGGUCUCAAAAUGAGUGACGGCGUCCCAGAGGGAACCGGGUACGAGGAGCUUCUAAACGAGCAUGUACCGCGGCACGACUCUGAGACGACGGUCUUACACCCUUUUAUUUUAAAGUGUUGACCUCGGAUCAGGUAGGAAUACCCGCUGAACUUAA